CUGUCAUUACAGCAUCUGGCCUUAACUGUGAGCCCACUUACAAGUGGCCGCAUGCAAAGAAAUGACACUUUGAAGUUGAUAGCCGCCAUCGAGUAUCAAACGGGAGCUAAUUCAUACCAGUGAGUUGCCAAAAACAUCACAGUAGAGGCCGAAACAGCUAUUCACAGAGAAACCAUACCAUCGUCUCUCACACAGCCCAGCCAAAAGACUUUGCAUUUGUAAAGGGAAAGGAACAUUUUGGCUUCGACAUUUUCAAUUGGAGGAACUGGCUGAACGAACGUGUGCACAGAAUGAUGAAGAGCGCAGAAAACCCUGUGGGAGAAGAAACAGAAAGACUCUAAGAGUCAGGAGGACACCAAGGAAACAAGUCCCUCUAAACACAGCAGGACCAAUGCACAUCUGAACUCAUAGAGACUCAGGCAGCAGGCACAGGGUCCACCCUGAUCUGCACCAAAUGGGACACCAAUUGGAAAAGUGGACUCAUGUCUCCAUC
rnacentral:sRNA from 1 species